rnacentral:rRNA from 1 species
GACGAACGCUGGCGGCGUGGAUUAGGCAUGCAAGUCGGACGGUAGGGCUUUAUCGUAAGAUAGAGUUUGAGAGUGGCGAACGGGUGAGUAAAAGGUAGGAAUCUACCCCUUGGACGGAGAUAGCUACUGGAAACGGUAGGUAAACUUCGAUAAGCCCGAGAGGGGAAAGUGGUGAGACAGCCGAGGGAUGAGCCUACUCUCCAUCAGGUAGUUGGUGAGAUAAAAGCUUACCAAGCCGAUGACGGAUAACCGGUGUGAGAGCAUGAACGGUCACAAGGGCACUGAGAGACGGGCCCUACUCCUACGGGAGGCAGCAGUGGGGAAUCUUGGACAAUGGGCGAAAGCCUGAUCCAGCGACGCCGCGUGGAGGAAGAAGUCCUUCGGAGUGUAACUUACUGAACUAGCCGAAUAAAAGGACCUCGUGGACACACAGGAGAAGAAAGUAGGCUAGGAAAAGUACCGGCGUAACUAACGUGCCAGCAGCCGCGGUAAAGAAGUAGUACA